UAUCAGUCAUGCAUAGCAUAUCAAUAAGCGGAGGAAAAGAAACUAACAAGGAUUCCCCUAGUAACGGCGAGUGAAGCGGGAAGAGCUCAAAUUUGAAAUCUUAAAGGGUUUCCCUUUACGAAUUGUAGUUUAAAGAAGUGUUUUCUGUUAGAGUUUCGGUAAAAGUUCUUUGGAAUAGGACAUCAUAGAGGGUGAGAAUCCCGUAUUUGACCGUUAUUUCUAGCUUUGUGAUACACUUUCAAAGAGUCGGAUUGUUUGGGAAUGCAGUCCAAAAUGGGUGGUAAAUUUCAUCUAAAGCUAAAUAUUGGCGAGAGACCGAUAGCGAACAAGUACCGUGAGGGAAAGAUGAAAAGAACUUUGAAAAGAGAGUUAAACAGUACGUGAAAUUGUCAAAAGGGAAGCGUUUGACACCAGUGUUGUUUAAUUGAAAAUCAAUUAACUAACUUUUGAUUUUAAAUAGUAUUGACUUUAUCAGCUUGCUAUUUUCUUUUCGGAAAUUAUUUAAUGCACUUUUCAGUUAACAAGUCAACAUCAAUUUCUUUUGUUGUAAAAAGGUAAGAGGAAGGUGGCUUAUGCUUCGGUAUAAGUGUUUAUAGCCUUUUACCUCUGCAAUCGGAGAGAGUUGAGGUCUGCAGCGUAGAUCCUUCGGGGUUAGAUACAUUUGUGCUAAGUUAUAGUAUUCUAUAGACAACUUGUUGACUAUGAUUUAUCAUGUAGCUUACUCGCUUAUGCUAUUUUACCUACGCUUAGGAUGUUGAGUAGCGACAUACGCAC
rnacentral:rRNA from 1 species